rnacentral:lncRNA from 1 species
CCUGACAACCUGGGUUCAAAGUAAAAUAUAGGCAUUAGAACAUUUAACCAGCUUGGUGAUAACAAUAAAUAAAAUGCUUCUUUCCCACAGUCACCCUAAAUAAGAAUAAUCUACUUCCUUUCAGGAAUAUAAUGUUGCAAGGAGAAACCUGCCCACAAGUAACACAAUACUGUCCAUGACAGUAAAUUAAUUGUUUCUUCCCCUCAGUCAUCCCAAAUGAAAGCAAUUGACCCUUCUUCAGGUAUACAGAUUUGCAAGGAAGAGGCUGCACACAGGUUUCAUAGCAAGAAAAAUAUAGAAGAACUAGAUAGACCUUGUAAUAAGUGAACUCAGAGCUGACACAGUUCCAAUAACAAUUUAUUUUCUCCCAGCGUUUCAGCUUGUGGCAUGGCCGACAUUGUUGAUGUGGAAAAAUAAGAGCGAGACGCAUCAUUAAGAGUAAAGAACCACCCAAAAAUAAUGUAUCAGCAUCAUCGUUCAAAAUGAGUCCCCCUAUAAUCAGACAAAAGAAUAUCCAUAAAAUCAGAUUGUAAAUGAUCUGUUGGGCCAAUAUCAAAGUCCAUGAUCCUAACUUUAUUAGCCAGAUAAUCAGUAGCUCUAUUGGCUUCCCAGAAUAUAUGAGUGACCCGAAAAGCUUGAAAGGUGUGCCUCCAAAUAUUCAAAUCCUGCAACAAAGAAUGAAGCAACUUAGCCGUUU